GAGUCCCACAGCGGCGUUCCCAAGAAUUGCUCCUCACCCCAGCAUUGCCCACCUCUUUCUCAUGCAUUGCUGAACAAGCCGGUGCUCGGUGACCCUUCUUGCUGACCUCCUCUAAAAACAAAAUGCGGGACCCAAGGCGGCUGCCAAGGAUGGUGAAAGCUGUGCUGGAAAAAAGGAGAAGGGAAAGCAAUGCUCUGGGAAGAUGCCGCCCCCAGGAUGGGGACAUCUCACCCGGCUCGGGGGCUGGCUGCUCCCCCUGCUCCGCAGAGGACCAGGCAGAUGCCUCGAGUCCAAGCAGCACAUCUGGAAGUGGGCUCCAUUAAAACAAACCUUAUUACAUAACAGCAGACAUCUGGAGCCUGUUACCACUACAUUUUUAGUAAAAAUAGUUUUUGAUAUGAUCUCUCCGAAGAAUGUGGCAGAGGGGCUCGGAGCCAAAGUCCUCUAAGAAGGGCUGUAACUGCUUCUCAUAAAGCAUCCCCCUCUGCCUGCUCGGGGCAGGGCUGUUUCCUCUCCGUGCACACACCGUGCCUCCCCGCUGGCGCUCGGGGGCACCGAGGGGAAGGAUUCGGGCUGAAGGCAGAUGCAGGGCUGAGGGCAAAGCUGAAGGGUUCACCAGGCCCCAAGCUCCGAGGUCUCUGUAGGCUUCACACAGCCCCUGGGAUCAAGAGAACCGAGCAGUGUGCACCCAAAGCCUCAGUUAGUCAGGGCAGGAGGCUGUUAGCUCACAGGAGCCUGCCUACGAACCAUCUCUGCACGCAGGGAGGAGCCCCCCAUGUGCUGGAUGCUGCGGAAGUGCCAAAGGGCCAGGGCUGGAUGAAACUCGUUGUUUGUGCCUUCAAGGUGCAGCACGAUGAAGCAAGCCGUGGGCUAUGUUCCCCUCUCUGAACUGGGGGCCAGGGUCCAACCACCUCCCUGCUGCUGCCCUCGCUGUCCCUGAGCAGUCUUCCCCUUCCCCUCCCACCCAAGUCCUUAGGCUGGAGGUACUCGGUGGCCCCACGUCUCCCCAGCACAGCACCCCAUCUCCUCUCCGCCCCAUCCCGAUUGAGAGCCCCAGCUGGUCUUCAUCAUCACCUAUAACUUUAGCAUCAUCCCCAGAAGUCCUCUUCUUACACCUCUCACUACCCUUCAGCAGCCCAAGCGCUCAGCACCCUCCGCCCCUCUGUUUGCUGACUUUCCCUGCAGCCUCUGCUGUGCCGAGACCUUGGUGCUCCCGGCCAGGAGGAAGAUCCGGCUGGAGCAUUCUCCUCCUGUUCCUUCCACUGCAGCUUUCCAGAGGUUAUAACCUGGCCGCAUCUGGGCAGAUUUCGUGUCGUCACCAGAACACGCACUCUGUGUGA
rnacentral:lncRNA from 1 species